CUCUCUGUGGAAAACAACAGGCGGGCGGGCCCCUCCGCCGACCCCGCCGCCGUUGCCGUAGCCGAAGGCACCGCGGGCGCCGCCAGCCCCGGAGCCCCCGCAGCAGCAGCAGACGAGCCCCCAGAUGCCUACGGCCAGGCAGCCCAGCGCGAGCAGAGAGCCCAGGACGAUGCCGAUGAUCACGCCUAUACGCCGGGAGUCUGUGGAGAGAAGUGGAGGCAGGUCAGGCUUUCUCACAGCCUGCUCCAGGCCAAGAGAACAACAGCUCAUUCCUGAGAUAAGGAUCCUGCUGCCAUCUGCCAGAUCCUGAGGCUGCUCAAGGCAAGCCAGGGAUGAGCCAGAACUCGGCUGAGAGCAGAGGCUCCACCCUGGAGAAGCACCGCUGGAAGCACCCACACAGGAAGGACUCUCUCCAUGCCAUAGGAGCCUGCCAGGCAGGAUGGUUUUAUAAAGGUCUGGUCCAGGAGACUACUGGGGUUCCCCCUGUGACCCCAGAGAGAGAGAAGAAAGAGAUUGGGAGAGAUAGUGAUGAGUUAAGGGGCAAAGACAGAGACAGGGACAGAGGCAGACAGAAAGACACAUGGUCUAAAUGGCCCCUCCAGAGACUCAGAGGGAUACAGAGGAGGCAGAGGGCCCAGGCCACGAGCUGGGAACCAAUACAAAUUUCCAAAAGGGCCCCUUGCUUUUUCCUAAGAAAUCCAUGACUCUCCAGGGAAGAAUGGCCCUGCUUUGACUGGUAUUUGCUUCUAUUCUAAGACAGUAACAGAAAAUCAAAGACUGGCUUAGAAAGGAGUAAACAGGGAGAUACAGGAGGUAGGAAGAGGCUGGACAAAAACUCAGAGAAGGCCACAGAUUGCUUACCAGAUGAAGUGCAGCCCAGCCCCAGAACCUUUCUGGGAAGGACGGACAGAGGGCUUGGGCUGCCUACUCUUCCUCCAAAGCCUAUUCUUCCUCCAAAGUCCCUUUCAUGGCAACUCCACCCCACUCCUCUAAGCCCUGCCCUCCCCUGCCUGUACUUGCCCACCCCAACCCCUCUCAGUGGCCGCCAGACUCCCUGGGCUCAGGCUCAAUCAAGCUCCCCACAACCCCUGCCUUGGCUGGCACUGCAAUUUGACUCAUUCUAAACUCCUCCCCACACAGUCAGCAAGCUCCUCAGCCCCCUCUCCCAAGUCCCCAUGUAGCCCAGGGCUCACCCUGCAGCACCCAGGGAGGAGCUGUCCUGCAGAGGAAACCUCUGAGGUAAGACUCUGGGAGCAGAAGCUGUGAGUGACAAUGGAUAGGCAAAGAGUCACAGAGAAGCCAAGGAGCCUUGCAGCUGCUGUCUGUCCACCCAGCUUUCAGUGAUGAUUUGGAGGUGGAGGUCUGCCAGGACUAGAUGGCUCCAAGAAGGAACCCUUCCUCCCUUCCUCUGGCUCCAGGAGUGGCUGCAGGGCUCUAGCCACAUCUGGCCACUUGAUGCCACGGCUGACCAGACAUGCUCAGUAAGGGGCCGCAGUCCGACACAGCUCCCGGGGUGUGUGCUAGAUGUGCCUCUCCAGCUUGUGACACAGGAAAACUGCUGCAGAGUGAGAGUCUUCUAAAUGGAUUAAGAAGCCUAUCUCAAUCCCUCUGGAGAGUCCUCUUCAAUUCACAAUGAAGAUGUUGAAGAGCAGGGACAGACAUCAACACUCCUCUCCCCACCUUCCCCACUGGCAGAGGCAUUCAGGUCACUACUAGUGUCUCUCUUUCUCUUUUCCCCUUCUCUUAAUCUCUCACUGCCCUUCUCUCCAUGUCAUAUUCUCUUUUUCUCCUUCCCUCUCUUCCUUCUUACCUACUAAACUCCAUAUGUACCAAAAUCAGUCAAAGCUCUACUAUCUAGCUCUCUUUAUCUAGACUAAAGGAGUUGUCCACCUCUUGGUCUAGAUAACACUUGCAAAUAAAGACCUGCUCGUUUCCCAAAGCUAAGUAAUUGUUUUAGUUGAGCAACUGGGAAAGGAGGAUGGUUUUGUGUUGUACUCUGAUGCUAUUAUCCUUGGAUGGAGCGGGGAAGAUGUUGCUAUUGUCUGCAAGCUUAGCCCAUCAGCCCUGCAAUGUUUCCAUCAUGGAGCUCAACUGAGCAACUAUUGCACUCUCUGCAGCUGAGCCUCCCUUUUGACAUUAUAACAGAUUUUAAACACUGUGAAGACAUGAGAGAUUCUAGGGUGGAAGAAGCUAGGUGUCCCUGUUUACAUAGGCCCCACUAGAUCCCAAAGCUCUGCAGCUCAGGUCUCAGAAUUCCCCUUUGUCUUCAGUCUGAGAGUUACCUACGAGAGCAAGGUUACUCAGCAGAAGCUUUGCCCUGAGCUACAUUUUUGGGCCUCUGCCUGCAGGUGGCAUCAACUUGAAAGGACUUGUUGAGGAUUACCUUGAUAUCUCCAAAGAGGCUCUCAUCCACCUCAGAGCUCACGGCUUUGGUCCGAUAGCGAGCCUUAUUCCUUGACCUGUUGGAAGCGGCAGAAGAGGAGCUCAGGAUGCCAGCUGUGCUUAGUGGCUGCAGGAAGAGGCAGAAAGUUUGGGUCAUCAGUACUGAGUGGCAUCCAGACCCUGGGAAGUCAACAAUUCACCAGCCCAUGCUGGGGGAGUGGGUGGGCAUGUGAAAAAGAAACAGUUAGGGAAAGCGGCUGUGUAAACUCUGAACCAUAGGGGACAAGGAGCAACAGAUGGAGGGCAUCCCCACAGAGCAGGGAAGGGUCUCUGCAAAAAAAAGAGCUCUGCAUAAAGCAGCAUUUGUGUAAAACAGUUGAUCUCAUAGAAGUACAGAGUAGAAUGGUGGUUACCAGAGGCUGAAGAGAGGAAGGGGAGGGGCAUGGGGAGAGGUUGGUCAGUGAGUGCGCAGUUACAGUUAGAUAGGAGGAAUAAGUUCUGGUGCUCUAUUGCACAGAAAGGCCACUAUAGUUAAUAAUAAUGUACUGUAUAUCUCAAAAGAGAUACACAAUAUCUAGGAGAGGAUUUUGAGAAAUAUAAAUGUUAUAAGAUUAAAUGAGAUGGCAAGGUCUAGUAUUU
rnacentral:lncRNA from 1 species